AUGGAACACGUGCGUGGAUUUUAGUGUGAGCAAAGCAACGAACGUAAACUAGUGCUCUGGGUUUGAUGCCAUUGUUCUGAAUUUGGCGAGGACGUUUAUGGAUUGCAUUCGUGAAGUGGAUCGGGUUUGAUCACGUUUGGGACACGUAAUGCACACCAUUGGAGAAGACUAUGAAUACACUGAUACAUCCUUUAAAAACUGCCAACUGAAAGCCACGAAAUGAGGGCUAUCUUCCAAAAAGCCUUCAAAAUGAGCGCUUUGACAAUGUAGCAGCCAAGAUAAACAGCCUUUCUGGGGCGCAGCCUUCCGUUAGAGAAACAAACCUCCAUUAGAGUGUGGGCUGUGAAGAAGAAUAUCACUGGUUGGAUGAACGAAUACGCCCCUUACUUUGAGUCUGACCGAGAGUGGCAAGUGUGCUCAAAACCAAAUUUGUGUUAUACAACAUUCAUGUACAAGAACCACAUCUCUAUCCACCUGUAACCUAAAAGAAGCAAGUUCGAAUAAAAGAGAAUGUAGAUGGAGAACAAAGGACUCUAACACACGCAUAAUAACAUUCGCCCCACGGUGAUCAUAACUCCAAACUAGCAGCACAAACUUAAUCCUUCGUUACACACUGGUUGUUCAAGCCGGAUCUGGUGAUUACUGUGAACGAAGAUGGCUCGUGCUCCAUCAGACAGAGACUUCAGACCAGAGGAUGUUCGUUCAUGCCGCCAAAGGAAUCCUCCUGACUGGCUAAAGGAAUAUGAGGUUGAUCUUCUACGUCCAGUAGUAUUUGAUCAACCCAGUCAACAUUUCUUGGAGAUCCUAUCCUAUCCUACAGCGCAAGUACUGGAUACUUCAGGGCUGUGAAGCUGUUCGGAAAGAGCAGCGUGCCCGUGUGGAAUGUCAAAGCUGGAGAGCCCAACCAGUGCUUCCUCAGAUGGCAGACCUACCUCCUGCCCGCCUCCAUGUGCAUUGCUCUGCAUUCUUCUUUACUGCAAUGGGCUGCUUUGGCCCCUUCCUAGUUAAAAUAGGUCACCGUAAUGAAAAGAAAUGGGGGGGGUUCUUAUUUAAAUGCUUAACUACAGGGACUAAUUUCAGAAGAAGUGAGCGAGAACUCCACGACACUUUCAAAGCCAUGCACCCCAGCACCUGGCCGAGCACCAGAUCAAGUUCAUCUUCAACCCCCCUAAUGCACCGCACUUCGGAGGUUCCUGGGAAAGGGAAAUCCAUUCCAUAAAGACAGUCUUAAAUGCCACCCUCAAUGCCCAGAGUGUGACUGAGGAAAUGUUCAACACCAACCUUAUUGAAAUCAAGGGAAUCCUGAAUUCCCAGGCCCUAGGUUAUGUCUCUUCUGAUGUGGCUGACCCAGACCCAAUUACCCCAAAUCUCCUUCUGAUGGGGUGGCUAGAUCCUUCAUUGCCACAAAACAUUUACCAUGAUUCCAAUCUACUCAGAUGGUUGCGAUGGAGGGUCUGUCAAAUCCUUGCUGACAGAUUCUGGUCACAGUUCCUAAAGAACUACUUGCCUGCAUCACAAACACAGGAGAAAUGGCAAACAGACACAGAUCUCCUCCAACCAGACACAGUGGUACUCAUAGUGGACCCUCAACUGCCCAGAGCAUUAUGGCCAGUUGGACGGAUAAUCAAGAUGUUCACAGGAGUUGAUGGGCAAAUAUGUACAGCAGAAGAUAAGGUGAACGAUUGAACCUAUGUCAGACCUAUCAGCCGUCUGAGCCGCCUCCCCGCUAUCUCAGAUGAUGAGAACAAAGGGUUGCCCCAAUGACUGCAAAUUUGCGGAACAAAUUUGGGGGUGGCUGUUGGAAAGGAAAGUGCAAGCCAGUCCAGCAGAGGGCGCUAACAGACUGUAUUAUCAUAUGACUGCCUGAAAUAAUACUGUGUUCUUAUGCAGAGGACAGUUUUCUAGUGCAGCGACGGGCAGAAGGAAUACCGGUACUUUAAGUGUUGUUUAUACAGUUAAUCUUGCUUUGGUGGAUUUGUGCGUGCAGAAAUUGGAUGUAUUGUCAUAUUUACACACUAUAUGUAUAUGUUUGUCAGGAUGAUCAACUUCAUUGUGCAUUUGGGCCGUUCACUGUUUGCCGUCAAAUGACUGAAUGAUUCAGCCCCUUCUGCUUACCGUCAGUUUGAGAUGUAUACAGUUGACACUAACAUUUGCAUCUUGCAUUGUAAUUUUUGUUAAGUAUCAGCAACUUUAUGUUAUUUUGAAAAAUAAGAAGGAUUAUUUAUUGUUGUUAUUAAUGCAGUUUCUAUGAUUCAUAUGAUGUGUGGUACAGCUCGUUCCUUAGUCAUAUUGUUUUCAUAUAGUUUCUUUAAGAGCGUAUUAUUGCCUGUUUGAAUAUUUCUACAUUAUAAGACAAUCUAAUAGCUAUUUACUGUAUUGUUAUUAAUGAUGAAUGCUUGUUGUGACUGUACUAUGAAAAGCUGUUACAUAUUAUUAUUUCCUUCUGUAGAACCACAUCUCUAUCCACCUGUAACAUAAAAUAAAAGAGAAUGUAGAUGGAGAACAAAGGACUCGUGCAUUCUAACAGAUGCCCCACAGUGAUAAUAACUCCAACUCCAACAAUCAACAUAAACUUAAACCUUACAAGCAGUAACCACUUCAUCCUAGUCAGAGUUGCAGUGGAUCCUGGGAACACUGGGCAUAUGAAGGAAUGCACACUGAAUGGGACACCAGUCCAUCACAGGGCUGCAUACAUAUAUGACGAGAUAAAUUAUUAUAGUUUGAGGGUUCUUUAAGUUAAAUCCUGCAUUAAUGGGAUCACGCUUUCUAUUGGUUGUGCCGGUGGCAAUGUUGCCCACUGAGCUGAACGAUCUGCAGCAGAGCUAGGGAGAAAUGCUAUAUGUGAGUCUUUUAUGUUUUAGCUCCAUGCUAGGAGUUAAAAAUACAUAUUUUAUAUCAAAUGUUGGACACAGUAUGGGAAGGAUUGCAUACAAUAGACAAUGAUUGAUUUGUAGAGUGUGUUUUCUGUGUAUAUGUGGAGCUCUAACAUGACUACAGAACUAUUUUCUGUCUGUCUUCUACUGCUCUGUGUGCAGCUCUGUGUGCGGAUAACUGCAAAUAAAUUCCAAUAUCAUCCACGUUCGGAGUGCUUGUUCUGGUGAAGGGUGGGACUGGGUCAGAUAAAGCCAAAGGUCACACAUAUAAACAUACAUUCACACCUAGGGAAUUUUAUGUGUAGAUGUUCAACUUACCAACAUGUUUUUGGGAGGUGGGAGGAACCCAGUGGACCUGGGUUGAAACCUACGUGAAUACAGAGAACAGGUGAAACCCCAGACAGCUCAGGAUUGAACCAGUGACACUGGAGCUGUGACUGCUUUGGUGUUUCUCAAAUGGAAUUAUUGUUUGCGUCCUUUUGAGGGUUCUAGGUCAGACUCGUUCUCAGCAUUGAAAUCUAGAAUGAGAUGCCUAGUAAGUCCGCAUGGCUGCGUCAUGGCUACAUCAUGAAGGUUUCCGCCCCCGCAGUCAUGGCGCGAAAUCUUUGAAAAGAGAACAACCGCUAUUGAGGAGGACAGAUGUCGGACCUGUGCUGUUCCUCUACUUCGUAGAAAUGGAGGAAGCCACCAGGAGGUUGCACUUGUGCCACUUUAUUCUCAGUUUUAGAAACUGAUCUACAGCAUGACUAUUUCUACAUUUAAUUAUUUCUGUCAGUAUGUUAAUAAGGUAGGCGAUCCUAACCUCACUCAGUGCAGGACUGGUUAAAGAGGUGGGAUUGUUUCAGCUUUAUUACUACUGCCUUGGCUUGCAGUAGCAACUCUCUGCUACACUGGAGCGUUGCCAGCAUUGCCCCUAGCUAGCUACAAGCCGCUAAGUUAUUGACUGUUCCAGAAGGAAUUUAUAAAUAAAUAAAUAAGAAAGAACAUGUGCAUAGAGCACCUCCUACUGUUCAUUUUACAGAAUACAUAAAAGAAAAAACUUAUUGGUACACUUCUACUUAACAUAUAUUACUACCUAACAGCUUGAGCUAAAAAUAAUAUAUUCAAGCUUAACUUAAAUCAUUCUCUUUUACUUUCACUAGGGGUGUAACCUAUGAGAUCUGCACUGUAUGAAAACUGUCACAAAAAUAUAAUGGUAUUACAUUAUAAAAAUAUAAUGGUAUUAAUUAUGGCAGUAUUAUGGUGAAUUACUAGUAACACUGUAAUAUGUUCUUUAUUGUUCCAGUACCGAAGGCAUAACAGUAAUGCCAUAAAAUUUUUAUAUGCACUAUUGAUUUUUUUUGUAAUUAUAGUAUUGUAAUACUAUUUAAAAUAAUUUAGGAAAAAUACUUUUUAAAAAUCUUUAAAUUAACUGACUUUAUAUAAAGCAAUACAGCGAGUGUGAAUCAUAUGACAACCGUCUGUGGUCUCCCAGUGAUUUAUAACAUGGGAAAUACUUAAAUGACAACAAAACAAAACAAAACAUGAACGACUUCAUCUCUGAAAACAGCUCAGUGCUGACUUGCAAUUGCCAUUUUUUUAUGAAUAUCAGGACGUGUACAAAGGUUUGCGGACGAGAACGCAAAAGAGCCACUGAUACAACCUUCGAAAUCAGCUGAAAAAAAGACGUAAAAUGAAAGAUGCCUUUUAAAGAGUCUUCAAAAUGAAAAA